UGAGUAAUACAUCGGAACGUGUCUUCUAGUGGGGGAUAACUGCCCGAAAGGGCAGCUAAUACCGCAUGAGACCUGAGGGUGAAAGCGGGGGAUCGCAAGACCUCGCGCUGGAAGAGCGGCCGAUGUCCGAUUAGCUAGUUGGUGAGGUAAAGGCUCACCAAGGCGACGACCGGUAGCUGGUCUGAGAGGACGACCAGCCACACUGGGACUGAGACACGGCCCAG
rnacentral:rRNA from 1 species